UUGAUUGCCGUCAUAGAACAAUGUUUUCGCGUGACAAGCAGAUAUUGUAAAUGCCUACUGAACGUGUUAGAGAAUCCAUAAACCGUUUAUUAAAUGUAUUUUAUAAUUUACCCGUCAAUUAUAUGCAUUUAAUGACGAGCAGGAUAAUUGAAUGACAACGAAAAAUGCAUAAAUAUUUUGCCGUCUAAUUCAGUUAUUAGUGAAGCUUCAAUAGGAGACGUCCAAGUUCUUGAACUUUAUUUAUUUCGCGUUACCUUAUUGAACAUUAAAAAUGCGUUGGAAGUAUUUGCGAAUUUUAAUAAUAAUCCACGCUUUACUGUUCACGAAUCUUUCAUCACCGUUUACAAAUGCGUUGCAUAAUCGUUUUUUGGAUAAAGCUACGUUUCUUAAACAUCCGUCUGAUAAUAAAUUAUUAGAAACAAUAACUCCGUAUAACGCUCACGAUAAAACUAUCCUCAAAUCUUCAUUAUUAUUAAGUGUAAUCCAUCCACCAAAAUUAGCAACUUUGGAUAAACAAACUUCGCUUGAACCGAUAUAUAAAAAAACUAAGUUGGAUAGAAACAUUGUGCCCAACACUGCUACAAACAAAAAUCUUUUGGAGAAUAUGACAAUGGAUAAAACAAUUUUAAAGAAUCGCGCAAUUAAUGAUGCAUCUUUGAACACAACUUCAUGGAAUAAACUUUAUUUGGAUAAAAAAAUAUUUGAGAACUUUUCAAUAAAUAAAAGUACUACAGAUACAGAUACGUCUAAGUUAAUUAAAACUACAUUGAAUCAAUUUUCUGGUACGACUCAUAAAGCUACUCGGACUGUGAAUAAAAAAGGAAUAUUGGAUAAACAGAAGCUAGAUAAUUCUGUGUCGCAAGAAUCUACUGAAGUUUCAUUUGCUAAACUUACCUCGGACAAGCCAAUAUUAAGUACAUCCGAAAGUCCAAAUAAAAUCGAGGAAUCAGAAACUUUUAUCGAAAUAUCGAAGCCUAUUGAUGUAAACCCAAUGCCGCAACCGAGGUAUACACCAAUUGGUAUUAAUUGUUAUAGUUGCUCAAGUGAUGACCUUGGAGCUUGUGCACAGACAGCACUUAAAUCUGAAUUCUAUAUUUUGUGCGAAGUAACAAGGAAAGACAGCGGAUGCUACACUGCACUUGAUCGUAAGCCAUUAAUUAUAAUUAGUUAUUUCACUAAUGUACCUAUUAUUUACCAUGUAAUUUAUUUUUCAUUCAAAGGAAAAACCAGAAUAAUCACUCGCGGUUGCCUCUCAGUUAUAUCUAAAUCAAUGGAAAAUUAUUGUUAUAAUGAAAAAGAACUUUGCGAAAUUUGCUAUAAUAACUCAUGCAACAAGAAAAAGGUUCCCGAACUACCAGAAGAAUCUGUUGAUUCAGCAUCCAAACUACUAAGAAGCCUAAUACUUUGGGGAAUUUCUGCUCUGGUUCUGACAGUUGCUUAAUUUUACACGUAAUAACAAUCACCUAAAUAUUCGCAAAUUUUAUCAAACACACUUUCAGUAAAUUAAAAAUAAUAUCUCACUCUAAUAAACUCUUCAAUUCAGCAAUAUAGUUUGUACUGUUUAAAUUUUAAAUUAUUAAAAUAUUGCAAUUGAAAUGCUUAACGUUAUAAAAACUUAUUUUCUCGCGUGACAAGCAGGCAUUGUCAGGCUUGUUAAAUAUGUUGUCUCAUCCAUAAACCGUUUAUAUAAUGUACUUUAUACUUUACCCAUCAAUUGGCACUUGUUUGGAUUUCAUUAUGAGCAGGAUAAUUGCGUGACAAUCAGCGAAAAUGUAUGUCUAUUCAAAUUAGUUGUUAGUGAAGCUUCAGCUAGAUACGACCUAGUUUAGGGACAUACUUUAUCCAGGAAUAUUAUUGAUAGGGGCGCAUUCAAAAUGCGUUGGAAAUAUUGGCGAAUUUUGAUAACAAUAAUCGCUUUAUUAUUUACGAACCACUCAGCAUCGUUUAAAUAUGGGUCGAAUAAAGAUAAUUGGUAUGAAAUGGACAUUGUUCAACCUGGAUGUGGUCACGAUGAAUCUGAUUUGGAAACGACUACACUGGAUAAAGCUACUUUUACUAAACCUAAUAGGAUAGAGAAGAAAGAUACAUUGGAUAACAAAACUUUGCCUAAACCCUCAUUUGGAAAAACAACGCUAGAUAAAUUUGCUGUGCACAACGCUACUGUGGAUAAAGAAAUAUUGGAGAAAACUAUAUUAAAUAAAGCCACUCUGAUUAAACGUACUAUUAAUAGAUUAGAUAAAGAAAUAUUGGCGAAGCUUCCAAUGCAAGAAGCUACCUUAGAUAAGUGGAAACUAUUUCAACCUACAUUAGAUAAACUUAAUUCGUAUACGUCCAAAAAACUCAAUGAAUCCGAUAAAUCCGAAACAGAUGAAUCUAAAGUGAUGCCCAAAAACGGUACCAAGCCGGUUCGCCCUCGCCCUUUACCGCAGCCGAUGUCUGAAUCAAUUGGCAUUCUGUGUUACAAGUGCUCAAGUGAUCAUCGUGGAUCUUGUGCACUGACAGAACAAAAAUCUCAAUACAGUGAAUUCAAUGUUAUGUGCAAGGUUACAAAAAAGGAUAGUGGCUGCUAUACAACACUUGAUCGGCACACCAGAAUUAUCACAAGAGGUUGUCUCUCCGUUAUGUCUCAAUCAAUGGAGAACUAUUGCCGAAAGGAAAACGAACUUUGUGAGAUUUGUUUUAAUAAUUUAUGCAAUAUUGAAAAGGCUCCUGAAAUACCAGAAGACUCCGAGCGAGAUGAAUCACAAUCACUAAGAGGUAGUUUUGUCCUCUGGCUAAUCUGCGUUUCAGCUUCACUAAGUCUUGCUUUUGGAUAAUUUGACUUGGAUAAACGAUUUGCUUAUUUAUUUGCUUAUUCAAUAAAUUUCAAUGGUCUCAAUAA